CUUUUUAUUUUCUUCUUCUUCUUCGUCGAUUAACGGGCAGCAAUUUCAACGAAUAAACUUUUCUUCUUCUGGGAUUUCUAAGAGGUUUUUGCCAGCUAAGUUGUUCUCACAAUCUCGAAAGAAUUCAUACCACGGUGUCGUUCUCAUGCAAGAUGGUGCAGUGGCCAUUCCAGUAAACCCAUUAGAAAAUGAGACCUCAUUCAAGAAAGUGAAAGAUGGGUUGUUGUCUUCAAUAACAUCUGCUAAGGAGUUAAAAGAAACAGCUGGUUUUGAUAUGAAUAAAAAUGAAUCAACUGUCAGUAUCACUGUGGUUGGAGCCUCUGGGGACCUUGCCAAGAAAAAGAUAUUUCCUGCGCUUUUUGCACUUUACUACGAGGAUUGUCUUCCGAAGCACUUCACUGUGUUUGGUUAUGCUCGGAGUAAGAUGACUGACGCUGAACUUAGAAACAUGGUUAGCAAGACUUUGACUUGCAGAAUUGAUAAGAGGGAGAACUGUAGUGAAAAGAUGGACCAGUUUCUUAAGAGAUGUUUCUACCAUUCUGGUCAGUAUGAUUCUCAGGAAAAUUUUACAGAACUAGACAAGAAGCUGAAAGAACAUGAGGGUGGGAGACUUUCCAAUCGCCUCUUUUAUCUAUCGAUCCCUCCAAAUAUUUUUAUUGAUGCAGUCAAAUGUGCAAGCACGUCAGCUUCAUCCGCUAAUGGCUGGACCAGGGUCAUUGUUGAGAAACCCUUUGGCCGAGAUUCAGAAUCCUCGGCUGCUUUAACAAAAUCGCUGAAGCAAUACCUAGAUGAAGAACAAAUAUUUAGGAUAGACCAUUAUUUAGGAAAAGAGCUGGUGGAAAACCUAUCUGUUCUCCGCUUCUCCAAUCUCAUUUUUGAACCAUUGUGGUCAAGGCAGUAUAUAAGGAAUGUACAGUUAAUAUUCUCUGAAGAUUUUGGCACUGAAGGACGUGGAGGGUACUUUGACCAUUAUGGGAUAAUAAGAGAUAUAAUGCAGAACCAUCUGCUUCAAAUACUUGCCCUUUUUGCCAUGGAAACCCCUGUCAGUUUGGAUGCAGAAGAUAUCAGAAAUGAAAAGGUCAAAGUUCUACGAUCGAUGAGGCCUAUACGACUUGAAGAUGUGGUCAUUGGCCAGUACAAGAGUCACAUCAAAGGAGGAAUUACUUACCCAGCCUACACUGAUGACAAGACAGUGCCAAAAGACAGCUUAACUCCGACAUUUGCAGCAGCUGCGCUUUUCAUUGACAAUGCAAGAUGGGAUGGAGUGCCUUUCCUUAUGAAGGCUGGCAAAGCAUUACAUAAUAAGAGGGCAGAAAUUCGUGUACAGUUCAGGCAUGUGCCUGGUAACUUGUACAAUCGGAACUUUGGAACAGAUCUUGAUCGAGGUACAAAUGAGCUUGUAAUCCGAGUACAACCAGAUGAAGCUAUUUAUUUGAAGAUUAAUAACAAGGUCCCUGGCUUGGGAAUGCGAUUGGACCAUAGCAAUUUAAAUCUUCACUAUGCUGCAAGAUAUUCUAAGGAGAUUCCAGACGCAUACGAGAGGCUCUUGCUAGAUGCCAUUGAAGGGGAAAGAAGGUUAUUUAUCAGAAGUGAUGAACUGGAUGCCGCUUGGUCACUGUUUACUCCUGUUCUGAAGGAGCUUGAAGAGAAAAAGAUUAUUCCUGAGUACUAUCCAUAUGGUAGUCGGGGACCUGUUGGGGCUCACUAUCUUGCAGCAAGAUACAACGUCAGAUGGGGAGACCUUGGGAUAGAACCGUAAAUCUGGGAAUGUUGUUUAACCCUUGCCAUUGAAGUAGGAUAGGUAGAGCAGAGAGCUUCAUUUCAUAUAUGUUUUAUUAGGACGAUUAGAUAGCGAACUCCCAUAUACGAACUCCAUGACAGCAUGCCUUGGUGUAAACAAGUGGAAUGUAUCAAGGGACGCAGGGAUUAUCCUUUUCACUUUUUGAGUUACAAUACACUCUUGUGGUUGAUGGUAUAUUUCAAGAAAUACACCACUUUUUUAUGGAGUGCAGUUGACUCUUACUAUGACUCAAAUUUCAGUAUUACUGAGCUAAUUAAUAGACUUAAA
rnacentral:misc_RNA from 1 species